ACCUGGAGGAAGGUGGGGAUGACGUCAAAUCAUCAUGCCCCUUAUGCUUAGGGCUACACACGUGCUACAAUGGGUAGUACAGAGGGUUGCCAAGCCGUAAGGCGGAGCUAAUCCCUUAAAGCUACUCUCAGUUCGGAUUGUAGGCUGAAACUCGCCUACAUGAAGCUGGAGUUACUAGUAAUCGCAGAUCAGAAUGCUGCGGUGAAUGCGUUCCCGGGUCUUGUACACAC
rnacentral:rRNA from 1 species